UACAGAGGGGGCAAGCGUUGUUCGGAAUUACUGGGCGUAAAGGGCGCGUAGGCGGCCCGCUAAGUCGAACGUGAAAUCCCUGGGCUCAACCCAGGAACUGCGUCCGAUACUGGCGGGCUUGAAUCCGGGAGAGGGAUGUGGAAUUCCAGGUGUAGCGGUGAAAAUGCGUAGAUAUCUGGAGGAACACCGGUGGCGAAGGCGGCAUCCUGGACCGGUAUUGACGCUGAUGCGCGAAAGCCAGGGGAGCAAACGGG
rnacentral:rRNA from 1 species